rfam:Apaloderma vittatum contig9876, whole genome shotgun sequence.
CAAAUGGUUUUUAUCAAAACCAUUUUUUAAAAAAAAAAAAGAAGAA